rnacentral:lncRNA from 1 species
GGACUGGCGGUGGAGCAUAACGACCACCAAAAGGAGGUUCCUGAUCCGCCGUAACAGCAUCUUCAUGACAUCUUUGCAAAUAACGAAGCACUGCUUUCUGCCACACACUCAUUUUCUUCGGCUUAUCGUGAGAGCCAACUAUGGUUUUCCCCUUGCCGCGAGAGGAACGAUGAUCGCCCCCACCAUCAUCAGUGCCUCCAGCAGCGGAAGUCAUCUCUAUGUACCACAAUUUCUUUAGCUCAUAUUUGCAAAUAACUAAACUAUUAAAAAGUUAUAUAUUUCCUACAUAAUUUACUUAUUGUAAAAAUGACUAAUUACGUACCUCUAUUUGAAAAAUACUAAACUAUGAAAUUACACCUAAAAUUUAUUUACCUUAAUUUUAUGGCUAAUUUCUAAAUAUUAAAAACAUAUUUACUCUAAUUUUUUCCUAAUACAUAAAAUUGAAAUCCUCUCAUUUUUCUCCCACUCCAUUCUACCUCACAUUUAGUCUCCAUUCUCCCUCACAUUCAAACUAUCCAUCACAUUGUAGCUCAAAAACAUGUAUAAAUACAAAUCCUCUCCAUUCUCCCUCUUUCUAACAAGUAAACUUAUUUUUGUCCCUCUCUAAAGUAUAAAAAAAGCAUAACAACAAUAAAUGAAUGGAGAAUGAAGUAGCUAACCU